GCAGGACUAACUCAAUUGGUAGAGUGCCACCCUUACAAGGUGGAAGUUACAGGUUCAAGUCCUGUGUCCUGCACCA
rnacentral:tRNA from 1 species